rnacentral:rRNA from 1 species
GACGAACGCUGGCGGCGUGCCUAAUACAUGCAAGUAGGACGCAGUUGCGAACGGGUGAGUAACGCGUAGGUCACUGCCUCUUAGAGGGGGAUAACUAUUGGAAACGAUAGCUAAUACCGCAUACUAGUAGAUGGACCUGCGUUGUAUUAGCUAGUAGGUGGGGUAAUGGCCUACCUAGGCGACGAUACAUAGCCCACCUGUAGGGGGGAUAGGCCACACUGGGACUGCGACACGGCCCAGACUCCUACGGGAGGGAGCAGUAGGGAAUCUUCGGCAAAGGGGGGAAACCUGACCGAGCAACGGCGCGGGAGUGAAGAAGGUUUUCGGAUCGUAAAGCUCUGGUGUUAAGGAAGCGGUACUUAACCAGAAAGGGACGGCUAACUACGUGCCAGCAGCCGCGGUAAUUC